rnacentral:rRNA from 1 species
UUUCAGCAACGGAUCUCUUGGCUCUCGCAUCGAUGAAGAACGCAGCGAAAUGCGAUAAGUAAUGUGAAUUGCAGAAUUCAGUGAAUCAUCGAAUCUUUGAACGCACCUUGCGCGCUCC